GACGAACCGUGCGAACGUUAUUCGGAAUCACUGGGCGUAAAGCGCACGUAGGCGGACUCUUAAGUCGGUGGUGAAAUCCUGGAGCUCAACUCCAGAACUGCCUUCGAUACUGGGAGUCUCGAGUCCGGGAGAGGUGAGUGGAACUGCGAGUGUAGAGGUGAAAUUCGUAGAUAUUCGCAAGAACACCAGUGGCGAAGGCGGCUCACUGGCCCGGUACUGACGCUGAGGUGCGAAAGCGUGGGGAGCAAACAGG
rnacentral:rRNA from 1 species